rnacentral:rRNA from 1 species
GACGAACGCUGGCGGCGUGCCUAAUACAUGCAAGUCGAGCGAAGUUUUUCUGGUGCUUGCACCGGAAAAACUUAGCGGCGAACGGGUGAGUAACACGUAAAGAACCUGCCUCAUAGACUGGGACAACUAUUGGAAACGAUAGCUAAUACCGGAUAAUAGCAUUAACUGCAUGGUUGAUGUUUAAAAGUUGGUUUUGCUAACACUAUGAGAUGGCUUUGCGUUGCAUUAGCUAGUUGGUGGGGUAAAGGCCUACCAAGGCGACGAUGCAUAGCCGACCUGAGAGGGUGAUCGGCCACACUGGGACUGAGACACGGCCCAGACUCCUACGGGAGGCAGCAGUAGGGAAUCUUCCGCAAUGGGCGAAAGCCUGACGGAGCAACGCCGCGUGAGUGAAGAAGGAUUUCGGUUCGUAAAGCUCUGUUGUUAGGGAAGAAUGAUUGUGUAGUAACUAUACACAGUAGAGACGGUACCUAACCAGAAAGCCACGGCUAACUACGUG